UUUUGGACAAUGGGCGAAAGCCUGAUCCAGCAAUGCCGCGUGCAGGAAGAAGGCCUUCGGGUUGUAAACUGCUUUUGUCCCCCCCCGAAACGGCCUUUUUUAAUAAAGAGGGCUAAUGACGGUACCGUAAGAAUAAGCACCGGCUAACUACGUGCCAGCAGCCGCGGUAAUACGUAGGGUGCGAGCGUUAAUCGGAAUUACUGGGCGUAAAGCGUGCGCAGGCGGUUCUAUGAGACAGAUGUGAAAUCCCCGGGCUCACCCCUCGGCCCUCGCAUUUGUGACUGUAGAGCUAGAGUACGGUAGAGGGGGAUGGAAUUCCGCGUGUAGCAGUGAAAUGCGUAGAUAUGCGGAGGAACACCGAUGGCGAAGGCAAUCCCCUGGACCUGUACUGACGCUCAUGCACGAAA
rnacentral:rRNA from 1 species